ACCGUCCUAGUCUCAACCA
rnacentral:siRNA from 1 species